rnacentral:rRNA from 1 species
CAAUAGCGUAUAUUAACGUUGUUGCAGUUAAAAAGCUCGUAGUUGGAUUUCUGGAGGGAGCGUCGGCCCGUAUUUACGAGUGCGUGACGUCUCUGUCCAUCCUUGCGGGAAGGCACGGCACUGACUUGUUGUGUCGGAUCGCAUCAUUUACUGUGAAAAAAUUAGAGUGUUCAAAGCAGGCUUUCGCUUGAAUACAUUAGCAUGGAAUAAUAAGAUAGGACUUUGGUGCUAUUUUGUUGGUUGAGCCUAAAGUAAUGAUUAAUGGGGAUAGUUGGGGGCACCUGUAUUGCGUUGUCAGAGGUGAAAUUCUUGGAUUUACGCAAGACAAACAGCUGCGAAAGCGUCUGCCAAGGAUGUUUNCAUUA